AUGCUCGCUCCAGCAGCACAUGUACUAAAAUCGGAAUGAUACAGAGAAGAUGAGCAUGGCUCUCGCACGUGCAUGAUACACAAAAAAAUAAAGAAAGAAGAUGAGAGAUAAUGUCU
rfam:Pteropus alecto contig43962, whole genome shotgun sequence.